GAUGAACGAUGGCGGCAUGCUUAACACAUGCCCGCCGGACGGGAAGUGGUGUUUCCAGUGGCGGACGGGUGAGUAACGCGUAAUAACUUGCCCUUGGGAGGGGAACAACUGCUGGAAACGGAUGCUAAUACCCCGUAGGCCGCGGAGGCAACGGAGGCAUCCGCCCGAGGAGGGGCUCGCGUCUGAUUAGCUAGUUGGGGAGGCAACAGCUUACCAAGGCGAUGAUCAGUAGCUGGUCCGAGAGGAGGAUCAGCCACACUGGGACUGAGACACGGCCCAUACUCCUACGCAACGCACCAAUCGGGCAAUCUCCGCAAUGCACGAAGGCCUGACGGAGCAAUGCCGGGUGGAAGUAGAAGGCCUACGGGUCGCGAACUUCUUAACCCGGAGAAGAAGCAGUGUCGGUAUCUCGGGGAUGAUCAUCGGCUAGCGCUGUA
rnacentral:rRNA from 1 species